UGGGUUGCAAAAGAAGUAGGUAGGUUAAGCUUCGUGUGGGAGCUUACCACUUUGUGAUUCAUGACUGGGGUGAAGUCGUAACAAGGUAACCGUAGGGGAACCUGCGGUUGGAUCACCUCCUUACCUUAAAGAA
rnacentral:rRNA from 1 species